UACGUAGGGGGCGAGCGUUGUCCGGAUUUAUUGGGCGUAAAGAGCUCGUAGGCGGCUCUUCGCGUCGGAUGUGAAAGCUCAAAGCUCAACUUUGAGAGGCCAUUCGAUACGGAAGAGCUAGAGGCAGGUAGGGGAGAGCGGAAUUCCUGGUGUAGCGGUGAAAUGCGUAGAUAUCGGAAGGAACACCAGUGGCGAAAGCGGCUUCCUGGUCCAGCACCGACGUUCAGGCACGAAAGCGUGGGGAGCAAACAGG
rnacentral:rRNA from 1 species